rnacentral:rRNA from 1 species
AGAAUGAACGCUGGCGGCGUGCUUAACACAUGCAAGUCGAACGGAAUCCAAGGAGCUUGCUCUGGAAGAUUUAGUGGCGAACGGGUGAGUAUCACGUGAGCAACCUGCCCCGAAGACUGGGAUAACACCGGGAAACCGGUGCUAAUACCGGAUACCUUCCAAUGACCGCAUGGUCGAUGGAAGAAAUGUUUUUCGCUUCGGGAGGGGCUCGCGGUCCAUCAGCUUGUUGGCGGGGUAACGGCCCACCAAGGCUUCGACGGAUAGCUGGUCUGAGAGGACGAUCAGCCACACUGGGACUGAGACACGGUCCAGACUCCUACGGGAGGCAGCAGUGGGGAAUCUUGCGCAAUGGACGAAAGUCUGACGCAGCAACGCCGCGUGAGGGACGAAGGCUUUCUGAGUUGUAAACCUCUUUCGACAGGAACGAUUGUGACGGUACCUGUAGAAGAAGCACCGGCCAACUAUGUGCCAGCAGCCGCGGU